UGGGGAAUAUUGGACAAUGGGGGCAACCCUGAUCCAGCGAUGCCGCGUGCAGGAAGAAGGCGUUAUGCGUUGUAAACUGCUUUUGCCAGGGGAUAAAAAGACCGUGCGCGGUUAAUUGAAGGUACCUGGUGAAUAAGCCACGGCUAACUACGUGCCAGCAGCCGCGGUAAUACGUAGGUGGCAAGCGUUGUCCGGAUUUAUUGGGUUUAAAGGGUGCGUAGGUGGCCCUGUAAGUCAGUGGUGAAAUAUCUCAGCUUAACUGAGAGGGUGCCAUUGAUACUGCAGGGCUUGAGUACAGAUGAGGUAGGCGGAAUUGACGGUGUAGCGGUGAAAUGCAUAGAUAUCGUCAAGAACACCGAUAGCGAAGGCAGCUUACCAAGCUGUAACUGACACUGAGGCACGAAAGUGUGGGGAGCAAACAGGAUUAGAUACCCCUGUAGUCCCUGAGCGGGCUGGCAAGGCGCAU
rnacentral:rRNA from 1 species